AGAGUUUGAUCCUGGCUCAGGAUGAACGCUGGCGGCGUGCUUAACACAUGCAAGUCGAACGGACAUGUCUUUCGGGAUAUGUUAGUGGCAGACGGGUGCGUAACACGUAGGUGACCUGCCCUGGAGUGGGGAAUAACUAUCCUAACGGAUAGCUAAUACCGCAUAUGCUCGGUGAUUCAUUUUGCCGAGUAAAGUCGAAAGGCGCUUCAGGAUGGGCCUGCGGCGGAUUAGGUAGUUGGUGGGGUAACGGCCUACCAAGCCGAUGAUCCGUAGGGGGCGUGAGAGCGUGGCCCCCCACACUGGCACUGAGAUACGGGCCAGACUCCUACGGGAGGCAGCAGUGAGGAAUAUUGCGCAAUGGGCGAAAGCCUGACGCAGCAACGCCGCGUGAGGGACGAAGGCCUUCGGGUCGUAAACCUCUUUUCUGGGGAAAGAGCAAGGACGGUACCUCAGGAAUAAGUCUCGGCUAACUACGUGCCAGCAGCCGCGGUAAAACGUAGGAGGCGAGCGUUAUCCGGAUUUACUGGGCGUAAAGCGCACGCAGGCGGCUUCGUUAGUCGGGUGUGAAAGCUCCUAGCUUAACUGGGAGAGGCCACUCGAUACUGCGAGGCUUGAGGUUGGGAGAGGGGUGUGGAAUUCCCGGUGUAGUGGUGGAAUGCGUAGAUAUCGGGAGGAACACCUGUGGCGAAAGCGGCACCCUGGCCCACACCUGACGCUGAGGUGCGAAAGCGUGGGGAGUAAACAGGAUUAGAUACCCUGGUAAUCCACGCCCUAAACGGUGGGCAUUAGGUGUAGGGCUCGCAAGGGUUCUGUGCCGAAGGGAAACCAUUAAAUGCCCCACCUGGGGAGUACGGCCGCAAGGUUGAAACUCAAAGGAAUUGACGG
rnacentral:rRNA from 1 species